rnacentral:rRNA from 1 species
AAAACUUUCAACAACGGAUCUCUUGGCUCUCGCAUCGAUGAAGAACGCAGCGAAAUGCGAUAAGUAAUGUGAAUUGNAGAAUUCAGUGAAUCAUCGAAUCUUUGAACGCACAUUGCGCCCUUUGGUAUUCCUUAGGGCAUGNNUGUUCGAGCGUCAC